CAGAAAUUCAAGAGAUGCAAUUUGUACUGUUGGUGCACAAACAACCGUGAUAGUUGUGGUCUCUGCUCUCUACUCUUCCAGUUGAGGAUACUCAAAUGAAGCCCAUCCAGUUGCUUGUAUUUAUUUUAGCAUAAUGGUUGUUAUUUAACUCGGUGAUCAUUGAUGGGGAAUGUCUUCAUGCUAUUUUUGAUGGUUCUCAUGUCGUGUUGUAUGGUCAGUUCCCCUUACUUUCCCAUUUCGUGACUUUACUAUAGUUCAAUCUGCAUGGCGCCCUCAAUGAUACAGGGUUUUGGCUCAUUUUAUGAUGUCCCCAUCCUCUAGAAUACAGAACCAGAGAUAUGGAGUUGUAAGCUUUGUUCAUAGAUUUUUCCAGUAUCAAGGCCUUAAGCCUUCUUCAUGUUUGCAAUAUUUCUAUCCAAUGCGAAUUAGCUUAUCUGAUAGAAUUUCAGUACUCCUGGCUGAAUAACAAACUCUUCUCGGUGUGAGGGAUUCAUGGGAACAAAUAGUUUUGGUAUAGUUCACAGCGCUGCCGGCGCAAGAAGUCCAGGUUAUUGUUAUAAUUGGCUAACAAUGGUGAUUGCCUUAGAAUAAGAUGCCUCAACUUUAUACUGAACUUUUGCCACAAAAUGGCAUCACUGUUUUAGGCAGAAUUCGGCUCGCUUUCAAAAACUAGGUAAUCGUACCAUACAUCUCUCAAUUCCGUGACUUGCAUGUACAAUAUAUUGACUCUCAGUUUUAUCAAUUGGUCAUGCAGGCUAUGAUUGCUAAAUAGAUGAGUGAUUCAUGGGAAAAUAUAUUUGUGUUGUAUUGUCUGAGACUCAAGCAUCAGAUAAUAAUUCUCAGAUUUAGAUAUCUUGCUGCAAUCAAUUUUGUACAGAUUCUACCUUUGUAUACAAAUAGCCGAGAUUGUAGUCACAAUGACGAGCUAGCUUGAUAUACCAGCAAAACCAAAGCAACAAAAUUAAGGAAACAUUGUGGUAAAUUUCUUCUCGCAAUUAUCACUUUGUCUUCAAUUAUUUUGCUUCAAGUGCUUUUGUUUAGUUUACCCUCUCAAUGGAUAUUGAAUUUUUGAACAAGUAUGUUCAACUGUUUCGUUGAGAAACUGUC